rnacentral:rRNA from 1 species
CCCUUAGAUGUCCUGGGCCGCACGCGCGUUACACUGAUGCAUUCAACGAGCUUAUAACCUUGGCCGAGAGGCCUGGGCAAUCUAGUUAACGUGCAUCGUGAUAGGGAUAGAUUAUUGAAAUUAUUAAUCUUGAACGAGGAAUUCCUAGUAAACGCAGAUCAUCAAUCUGCAUUGAUUACGUCCCUGCCCUUUGUACACACCGCCCGUCGCACCUACCGAUUGGAUGGUCCGGUGAAGCCUCGGGAUUGUGGUUCUUGCCGCUUUAUUGUGGCGUGACCGCGAGAACUUGUCUAAACCUUAUCAUCUAGAGGAAGGUGAAGUCGUAACA